rnacentral:piRNA from 1 species
UACCUAUCUGGGGUAGAUGGUGGU